rnacentral:lncRNA from 1 species
UUUUUCGGGGGAAAUCAGGGGUUUCCAAGCACACUUAAACCCAUCCUAACCGCUCAAGUCAACUAACCAAGGUCUGCUUUUCUGAUAAAAUAACCCAUAAAACGUCCAUAUUAAGAGCUAGAAUGGUUUGGAAGACAAAGAAGUGCUGAAAAAUCUCUCGCAAACAUCUGAUCAUUUCUUGUUCCUGCUGUCAUUGGUGAUACUGAUUGUGGUGUUAUUGGGACUCUACCAGAGAAACAGAAUGAUCGGAUAUAUGUACCGACCGUCAAGGACACUUCCCAAAUCCCCACCUCCACCCGUGACAUCUAGAUGGGAGCAUGUGGCAGAUUGCAGCCAAUGGAAUAUAGGCAGAAGUGACAUACACAUCACCUCCAGAUCUGGCCAGAGAACCCUCUGUAGAUGCUCCCAACCCCUUUUCUUCCCCACAGCUGUGGGAUGAGAAGCCAAGUUCGCCAAGGCCAUAGAUGAUGGCCUGGGACAGUCGUGGGGUGGAAAAAGCCCGAGUCCUCAAGUCACCCUCUAGAAGACCAUCAUUCUGGAGAGCGGUCCUGCCAGAAACAGCCCCACUGGACUUGGACAAGGUGGAAAGGAAUCAGAAGUGACUGUCUUUACUUGAAAACGAGGUAAGGAUAGUUCCUAUGUGUAGAGAUACGGAUUAGACUUUCUCCAGGGAGUCAGGCUUAUCGCCGGGAAGGAGAAAAUGAGCUCAAGCAGGGCUUGAUUAAAAGAAGUGGAGAUGUUGUUUGGAGCAUCGACUCCAUGUCCAACCAAAGUGCUGUGGACUUGUGAGGAAGCCACUUCUCAUCCAUGGCUGCACUGGCCUGCCUCCCUUGCAUCUAGAUGGGAUCAUGAAAUAUCACCGACAGGACUGGACCGGAAGUCCUGUGACUCUUUUAGACCAAUGAACUUGGGAAGCAAGUGCCUGCACCAGCCCCCUUUUCCCUUCCACUGGCUUCCUGCAGAAGAGCACGUCACCGAGAAAUCACAGAAGGGAUGACAGAGCCACAAUGUGGAAGGAGCCUGGGUCCUGGAGUCUCUACUUGGAGACGAGCUAACACCAAUUAGAAGGAUCCAUGUUGGACAUUAGGUGAGUGAGAAAUCAACUUCUAUUUUGUUUAAGUUGAUAUACUGGGGAACUUUUUUAGGGUAGCUAGUAUUAGCUGAUAGCGUGACACUCAGCCCUAGAAUUGGGACUAGUACUUUUUCUUCACAUUCAUGAAUAUGUAGCAAGUAUGUUGCUCCCAUCCCUGCCAUGCCCAAUGGAAAUAUUGUUGCUUGAUGAUAGUGUUUUUGUCAGUCUUUAUGUGGUUUCAGAAACCCUCUUAACAAGGCUGUUUUUACCAAAUGAUUGAAUUUGGGAUUCAGAAUAUCUCUUUGCUAUACUAGCAUGAUUGUAAGUUUCUUGAGCUGAAGGUUUAACAUCUAUCACUUAUCAUAUUGCAGUUCAACGUUGUUGAAGGAAGGAAGGAAGGAGAGAUGUUUUACAAAGAUCUAUUUCUCUAUACGUAUAACCAUCUUUAGGCCACAGAGCUACCCCAGAAGCUUGGGGAACGGGGCAUUGAGACAAUUAUCAGGAUAAUUCAACUCAGGGUAUUUGGAAUUCUUUUGUGGCACAGCAGAACGAAUCCAACUAGGAACCAUGAGGUUGUCGGUUCAAACUCUGGGCUCGCUCAGUGGGUUAAGAAUCUGGUGUUGCCCUGAGCUAUGAUGUAGGUCGCAGACACGAUUCAGAUCUUGUGUUGCUGUGGCUGUGGCUAGAGCUCUGAUUUGACCCCUAACCUGGGAACCUGCAUAAGCUGCGGGGGCAGCUCUAAAAAGAAAAAACAAACAAACAAAAAACAAAACCCUUGAAGGUAUGAAGGUUGCUGAUGACCUUGUAGUGGCCAUCCCAGGGUCCAUCCGUAUUCCCUGAUAAUCUCUCACCUCUGUACUUCACUUUGCCUGCAUUGAGAAAGCAAUCUAAACGGUUCAGAUCUGCUUGGAGACCCAGGGUCGGGAGGUGAGGGAAAAAACUCACCCUAUUGUGCAGAAUAUCACUAAUGUCUUAAAUAUCAUAGCUAGACAGAUAUUUCCCUAGAGUCCCCCCAGGAAUCUGUGUGGACAGCAGUGAGAAAUGACAGAAGGGAUGACAGAGCCACAAUGUGGAAGGAGCCUGGGUCCUGGAGUCACCACUUGGAGACGAGCUAACGCCAAUUAGGAAGAUCCAUGUUGGUGGCCAUCCCUUUCCUUCCCAGCACCAGCUCCAGGAGCAGGACUCCUGUACCCAUCAUUUCAUUUGAUCAUUGUUCAAGUAAAGAAAGUAGAGGGGAAUUUACCCAUUUCACAGAUGAAGAGAGAAUCCUAGAAGGAAUAUGACUCGACACCACAAAAUGUUUAAGAUAAGCUCAAGCCGGGAACCCAGGACUCUUAAAAUUCCAUUCGUCCAUUCAUUCAUUCAUUUAUUCAUUCAGUUAAUAUUCAUUAAGUACUUAUUUGUCAAGAACUAUUAGCUCCUGGGUCUUGCUUAACAUGCCCUCAUACCAUUUCUCCUCAGCACAGACACGUGUUUCCUCCUCAUGCUUGGUUCUUCAUAAUGCGUUGUCCUUUCCCUUCCACACUCUAUUGGACUGUUCAGGGCAAAAUAGUGGGAAGGGUGUCAUAUGGCAGGAAAGCAUUGGACCUCACUCUGGUACAUAUGUACAGUCUAGAAUUUGACUGGAAGGAACAGAGGGACGGUCUAAUGUCUUUGGCUUUUCCUUGAGGCCUAAAUGCGUGCCCUCGAUGUCUUAGCCUAGGCUUCAGAUUUACAGUUUGAGAAACGUAGCUCUCAGCUCAGAGCCUGGAUCUAUAAACACCACAGUCCAGCUUUGCUGGCUCUCAGCCAUCACAGCAUCUGAGAUAAACAUGGAACUGGUCUGCCCGGUCACUUCCACAGACAUCAGGGCCCUCCUCUUCCAGCCCAGCAGGAAAGCUUCCCCUUGGCCUUCACUGGGGGCCAAGGAUGACCAAAGGAGGCCCAUUCCUUCAGUCCCUGCUAGACUCACAAAUACAUCAAUUUCUUACCCUUAGAGAGAAGUAGGAAUUCUCCUGGAAGGGGCAUAGUGAUGUCAUAAGGAGAAAAUUAAUUGUCAUAGAUGGAUAAGGUAUUAGCAAUCCUGGAACACAUAACAGUGUUUUUUCUUUAAGUCCUUGGAAAACUCACUUUUACAGUCCUCCAAGACUUCUCUUCGACCUCAUUUUCCCCUCCUUCCCAUAAGGUGUGCUCCACUCCACUGCUCACGAACUCCCAAGCUCACAGUUUUAAUCGAGCUGCCCCAAUGUUGCAUAAAUAAACUGAAACACACCUCUUCUUUCUAUCUGCUGAAGCGAGCCCUGCCCACUCUGCCAAGUCAGAUACAAGUUUGGUGAGGGAAUCACAUCUUUCCCCCCAAACUUUCUAUGGUCUGGAGAAAGGGGCCCACACCACCCCAUUCAUCACGGCUCCCCCUGUUUCUCAUUAAAUUUAUGUGUGUUGAUCCCAUAUUUCCUCUGAGAUUAUAAACCUUGUGCGGAAGAGGCAAUAUAUCUUGUACUCUUUAGUGUGUAAAUUAAGCACUCUGCUUUUUUAAAAAAAUUAAAUGUUCUUGUUUUAUUAUCGUUCGAGCAAUGGGCGAAGGCCUUUGGUCUCACAUAAUAGAUGCUGUCUUCUAAAAGAUAAUCCCAAUUUAGGGUCUAAGUGGAUUUGCCAUCUGCUACGAAGAGUUUUAAGUAGAUGAGAUUGCCACGUGGGGAAAACCUAGAGCCCUGGGCCCAACCUUCCAAGGAGCCCCUGGCUUAUAGGUUCUGAGGAUUAGACACGGUGACAUCCUUAGAGAUGAGGUGACUUAAGAGAAAGUGAAGGGACUCCGCCUCCUCCCCUCUCAGUAACUUUUGGAAAUCUUGGAGAAGAGAUGGCAUGGAUGUGGGUCCCAAGUCUUCCCCAAAUGAAUAAGCAGGGCUGCUGAGCAGGGAAUGCUAGGGGUGCCUGUUGUCCCCAUCUGCCUGGGAAAGGCCCUGAAUCAGUUGCCCCGUGUUCUCACCACAUCCCCCGCUCCCCCGAAGCUGGCCGAGAGCCAGGCAGACCUCCAGCAUUAAAACUGGCAAAUGAGAUCUGAGCUUUGAUAUACCCCCCCCCCUUUUCCUCGUUCAAAGAGGAUUUUGAUGCCAGCCAGCACCAUAUGUUGAAAGGGCCCACGCACAAUCCUAUUACCUUCGCAGGAGGCAUUAAAUAAUUACAUUAAUUUACCUAAAUAUGGAAAAAAAAUCGUUACAAAUCAGGGACACUUGGCAAAUUUUCCGGCUGCACAUUUUUCUCUUGGCACAGUGUACUGUCCUGUUGGGUUCCUAUUGCUACUUGGAGUGUUUUCUUUCAUUGUGGGGCCCAUGGCUUCUCUUGUUCUGUUUAAUUUUCUUGAAGCUGGUUCCAUAUUCUGGCUACAAACAUAUUGUAGGGGGAAAAAAAUGCCCACAAAAGUAUGGAUUGUGCCGAAGCGUACCCUAAGGGGGAGUGCAUAAAAAUAGUAAUUUCUCGUAUAUGAAACCUUCCAAGGGGCGGUCUUUCACACGAGGCUUUAAGGAAAAAAGGCAAAGGAAUGGAAAGGAGAAAAAGGAGAGGGAAGGAAAGGAUGAAAAUGAGAAAGAGAAGGGGGGUAGGCUCUGGGGUGGGAGGUGAGCCGUCUGGUUUCCAUGCGUACGAGGACAACCAACGGGGCUCUUCUUUGGUGGACUUUCUAUGGAAACACCUCCUCUUUGGUGUGUGUUCUCACCAUCAGUGCCCACUGUGUCUGAAUCCUGUGCCUCUUUGAUUUGCUGUGGAAUUGGAGAGCUGCAGUGACGGUGAUGUGUACAUAGCCCCUGCCCCUCUUCAGCAGCCUGUCCUCACGGGGAGGCCAGAGUAAACGACCCCCUACACCCCCCAGCUGGAGAGGCCAAGGAAAGGGAGGUCCUGGGCUCUUAGAAGUUCCUCUGACCCAGGGACGGCCCACAAUGCCCUCCCUUGGGAUAAGGUCUUCUAGCAGGUGCUUCCCAAAGACACUGAGAAAGAUCAAGCUGUUUGCUUUUGUUUCCAGCCCACUGCAGAAAGAAUUUCUUUCCUCAUCACAUCUUUUUUUUUCUUUCUUUGGAUGUUGUAGUAAAGUCAAAUUGCUGGGGAAAAAAAAUGUCUCAAUGUUUCCUCUUCUCUUAAUUUCUAGGCUUAUCUCCUUUUGAAUGGCUGAGUGAGGACCAGUCCAUGGCCCAGCCCUAGAGCAGCCAUGUUUUAAACCACAAGGAGAUGAGAUGCAAUUAACAUGGGCCCUUCUGGAGUUCCCAUUGUGGCACAGGGGAAAGGAUCCAACUAGGAACCAUGAGGUUGUGGGUUUGAUCCCUGGCCUUGCUCAGUGGGUUAAGGAUCUGGUGCUGCUCUGAGCUGUGGUGUAGGUCAGCAGCUACAGCUCCGAUCUGACCCUUAGCCUGGGAACCUCCAUAUGCUGCAGGAACGGCCCUAGAAAGACAAAAGAUAAAUAAAUAAAUAAAUAAAUAAA